rnacentral:rRNA from 1 species
AACGCGAAGAACCUUACCUAAGCUUGACAUCCCACUGACCUCUCCCUAAUCGGAGAUUUCCCUUCGGGGACAGUGGUGACAGGUGGUGCAUGGUUGUCGUCAGCUCGUGUCGUGAGAUGUUGGGUUAAGUCCCGCAACGAGCGCAACCCUUGUCUUUAGUUGCCAUCAUUAAGUUGGGCACUCUAGAGAGACUGCCGAGGAUAACUCGGAGGAAGGUGGGGAUGACGUCAAAUCAUCAUGCCCCUUAUGCUUAGGGCUACACACGUGCUACAAUGGGUGGUACAGAGGGCAGCCAAGCCGUGAGGUGGAGCAAAUCCCUUAAAGCCAUUCUCAGUUCGGAUUGUAGGCUGAAACUCGCCUACAUGAAGCUGGAGUUACUAGUAAUCGCAGAUCAGAAUGCUGCGGUGAAUGCGUUCCCGGGUCUUGUACACACCG